CUUCAGAUUCCAGGACGGCUCCAGGGGGCAUCAUCGAAAGGCGUGGCACAUCAGGGCCUUCAGGAUGGCUGCGUCCUGGUUAUUGCCCUGUGGUGCCAGAGAGAACCACACAGCCUGCUGCUGCUCCUGCCUUUAAUUUCCCAAAGAGCCAUCAAAAGACCUUGGACUUUGUUCUGCAAGAGGAGCUAGCAAAAUGGAGUGACUGUGGUCACCCUGGAAGCCUUUGACAGCUGGGGAGGCCCUGCUGAGCUUAGAAAACCAUCUGAUAGAUUUCCUGAGUAAGGAUUGGGCUUUGUAUUUUGAAGCACAAAUAAACUUGAUAAAAUUAAA